AACGAACGCUGGCGGCAGGCCUAACACAUGCAAGUCGAGCGCCCUUUCGGGGGAGCGGCGGACGGGUGAGUACCGCGUGGGAAUAUGCCCUUCUCUACGGAAUAGCCUCGGGAAACUGAGAGUAAUACCGUAUACGCCCUAUGGGGGAAAGAUUUAUCGGGGAAGGAUUAGCCCGCGUUGGAUUAGGUAGUUGGUGGGGUAAUGGCCUACCAAGCCGACGAUCCAUAGCUGGUUUGAGAGGAUGAUCAGCCACACUGGGACUGAGACACGGCCCAGACUCCUACGGGAGGCAGCAGUGGAGAAUCUUAGACAAUGGGGGCAACCCUGAUCUAGCCAUGCCGCGUGAGUGAUGAAGGCCUUAGGGUUGUAAAGCUCUUUCAGCUGGGAAGAUAAUGACGGUACCAGCAGAAGAAGCCCCGGCUAACUCCGUG
rnacentral:rRNA from 1 species